rnacentral:rRNA from 1 species
UGGGGAAUAUUGGACAAUGGGCGAAAGCCUGAUCCAGCAAUGCCGCGUGAGUGAUGAAGGCCUUAGGGUUGUAAAGCUCUUUUACCCGGGAAGAUAAUGACUGUACCGGGAGAAUAAGCUCCGGCUAACUCCGUGCCAGCAGCCGCGGUAAUACGGAGGGAGCUAGCGUUAUUCGGAAUUACUGGGCGUAAAGCGCACGUAGGCGGCUUUGUAAGUUAGAGGUGAAAGCCCGGGGCUCAACCCCGGAAUUGCCUUUAAGACUGCAUCGCUUGAAUCCAGGAGAGGUGAGUGGAAUUCCGAGUGUAGAGGUGAAAUUCGUAGAUAUUCGGAAGAACACCAGUGGCGAAGGCGGCUCACUGGACUGGUAUUGACGCUGAGGUGCGAAAGCGUGGGGAGCAAACA